GGGGAUGACAGGCUUCGACGGAGGAGGCUGAUCCCAGACUGCAAGUCGAGAGGUACCGACAUCGUAAAAUCAGUACAAAAAACAAGUGCCAAUCGCACAAACACAUAUGCUGCUAUGCCCCUCGCUGCUUAGUGAGUGACUAGAAGCUAAAUGGGUCCCACGGGAUCCACGUCCGCCUACCCCGUCCCCUAACCGGUGGUAAAGUGGGCGACACAAGGUUAGGGUGCCAAUUUGCAAGCUGCGGUCAAAUUGAAAGAGAACUUUCGGGUUCAAGCAGAUAGUGACUUUUUCAGUUUUGCUGGUUCUCUGAAUAAGUUGCGAAAUGAUGAACCAACUAAACUUGUAGACGUUUGAUGAUCUAUUCUUUCGGACGCGGGUUCAAUUCCCGCCAUCUCCACAA
rnacentral:tmRNA from 1 species